UGGGGAAUAUUGGACAAUGGGGGGAACCCUGAUCCAGCCAUGCCGCGUGUGUGAAGAAGGCCUUAUGGUUGUAAAGCACUUUAAGCGAGGAGGAGGGUACUGGUAUUAAUACUACCAGGUACUGGACGUUACUCGCAGAAUAAGCACCGGCUAACUCUGUGCCAGCAGCCGCGGUAAUACAGAGGGUGCGAGCGUUAAUCGGAUUUACUGGGCGUAAAGCGUGCGUAGGCGGCUAAUUGAGUCGGAUGUGAAAUCCCCGAGCUUAACUUGGGAGUUGCAUUCGAUACUGGUUAGCUAGAGUGUGGGAGAGGAUGGUAGAAUUCCAGGUGUAGCGGUGAAAUGCGUAGAGAUCUGGAGGAAUACCGAUGGCGAAGGCAGCCAUCUGGCCUAACACUGACGCUGAGGUACGAAAGCAUGGGGAGCAAACAGG
rnacentral:rRNA from 1 species